ANNUUAAGCCUGCAUGUCUAAGUAUAAGCAAUUAUACCGCGAAACUGCGAAUGGCUCAUUAUAUAAGUUAUCGUUUAUUUGAUAGCACAUUUACCUACUUGGAUAACCGUGGUAAUUCUAGAGCUAAUACAUGCUAAAAAUCCCGACUUCGGAAGGGAUGUAUUUAUUAGAUUAAAAGCCAACGCCCUUCGGGGCUUCAUGGUGAUUCAUGAUAACUUGUCGAAUCGCAUGGCCUUGCGCCGGCGAUGGUUCAUUCAAAUUUCUUCCCUAUCAACUUUCGAUGCGAGGGUCUUGUCCUCGCAUGGUUGCAACGGGUAACGGAGGGUUAGGGCUCGACCCCGGAGAAGGAGCCUGAGAAACGGCUACUACAUCCAAGGAAGGCAGCAGGCGCGCAAAUUACCCAAUCCCGACACGGGGAGGUAGUGACAAUAAAUACUGAUACAGGGCUCUUUUGGGUCUUGUAAUCGGAAUGAGUACAAUUUAAAUCCCUUAACGAGGAACAAUUGGAGGGCAAGUCUGGUGCCAGCAGCCGCGGUAAUUCCAGCUCCAAUAGCGUAUAUUAAAGUUGUUGUGGUUAAAAAGCUCGUAGUUGAACCUUGGGCCUGGCUGGCCGGUCCCCCUCACCGGGUGCACUGAUCCAGCCGGGCCUUUCCCUCUGUGGAACCUCAUGGCCUUCACUGGCUGUGCUGGGGAAACAGGACUUUUACUUUGAAAAAUUAGAGUGCUCCAGGCAGGCCUAUGCUCGAAUACAUUAGCAUGGAAUAUAGAAUAGGACGUGUGGUUCUAUUUUGUUGGUUUCUAGG
rnacentral:rRNA from 1 species